UAAUCAUACACAUGACAUCAAGUCAUAUUUUACUCCAA
rnacentral:sRNA from 1 species